rnacentral:SRP_RNA from 1 species
GAUUGGGUCCUGUGCAACACGAACCCGCGAAUCUGGUCAGGUCCGGGAGGAAGCAGCCAUAAGUGGUCAUUCGUGUGUGCCGCAGGGAAGCCUGAUCCCC